UAGACCUACGGGGGGCAGCAGUAGGGAAUCUUCCACAAUGGACGAAAGUCUGAUGGAGCAACGCCGCGUGAGUGAAGAGGGGUUUCGGCUCGUAAAGGUCUGUUGGUAGUGAAGAAAGAUAGAGGUAGUAACUGGCCUUUAUUUGACGGUAAUUACUUAGAAAGUCACGGCUAAAUACGUGCCAGCAGCCGCGGUAAUACGUAGGUGGCAAGCGUUGUCCGGAUUUAUUGGG
rnacentral:rRNA from 1 species